CGAGUGGCGAACGGGUGAGUAAUACAUCGGAACGUGUCGAGAAGAGGGGGAUAACCACCCGAAAGGGUGGCUAAUACCGCAUAAAUUCUGAGGAAGAAAGCUGGGGACCUGGGAAUAGGCCUAGCGCUUUUUGAGCGGCCGAUGUCGGAUUAGCUAGUUGGUGAGGUAAAGGCUCACCAAGGCGAAGAUCUGUAGCGGGUCUGAGAGGAUGAUCCGCCACACUGGGACUGAGACACGGCCCAG
rnacentral:rRNA from 1 species